rnacentral:rRNA from 1 species
AACUUCGGGAAACCGGAGCUAAUACCGGAUAAUAUUUUGAACCGCAUGGUUCAAAAGUGAAAGACGGUCUUGCUGUCACUUAUAGAUGGAUCCGCGCUGCAUUAGCUAGUUGGUAAGGUAACGGCUUACCAAGGCAACGAUGCAUAGCCGACCUGAGAGGGUGAUCGGCCACACUGGAACUGAGACACGGUCCAGACUCCUACGGGAGGCAGCAGUAGGGAAUCUUCCGCAAUGGGCGAAAGC